rnacentral:rRNA from 1 species
GAUGAACGCUAGCGGCAGGCUUAAUACAUGCAAGUCGAGGGGCAUCAAGGUACACGAAAGUGUAUUGUUGGCGACCGGCGGACGGGUGAGUAAUAGGUAGGUAACCUACCUCAUACUGAGGCAUAGCUGGGAGAAAUUCCAGGUAAUUCCUCAUGAGGUUAUAUGACACAUGUGAUAUAAUCAAAGGUAUCGCAAGGUACUGGUAUGAGAUGGGCUUACUGACCAUUAGCUAGUUGGUGAGAUAAGAGCUCACCAAGGCGAAGAUGGUUAAGGGGUUUUGAGAGAGAGAUCCCCCACAUUGGAACUGAGAUACGGUCCAGACUCCUACGGGAGGCAGCAGUAGGGAAUAUUGGGCAAUGGGCGGAAGCCUGACCCAGCCAUGCCGCGUGAAGGAAGACGGCCUUAUGGGUUUGUAAAACUUCUUUACUAUGCGACUAAACUAGAAUUUACGAGAUAAUUCUAAUAGAAUAGUAGCAUAAGCAAAAAAGCAACCC